UUAAUGAUUAACAUUUUGGACGUACCCAUAAGACUAUAAUAUUAAUAUAUUUAUCCGUUCAUAAUGAUAACAAUGUGUAUUAUAAUUUUGUAUCGUCUGGAUAUUUAGACAAUGGUGAAAUAACUUAACGUCUGUAUGAUUAUGCAAUUAAAGUGCAAUUAAAUGGGCGAGCGAUUGACCUCCUCUUUUAUAAGCCUUGUGAUAUUAUUUUUUGUUAUGCAAAAUAUCCACAAUUUUUAAGUACAAAUAUGUACAAAUGAAACUGGUUCUAAAUGCCAUAAAGAUGAUUUUGGAUCUUGGAAAUACUUUGAUUGAAACAUGAAUGAAACACUUCUCAUUUGUAAAAUUCCAACAUAUGUUCUCUCGAGGGUAAGAUUGAAUAACUGUGGAAAACUAAGUGGGAAACAAUUAAUUUGCAAAGAUAUAAUAAAAUAAUAUAUUUUUAGAAUCAAAAUUGAAAGCUGAAAAGUUUAAAAUUAGAUUCUGAGUGUAGCGAAGAAUGUACAAUGAUGUUUUUUUUUACCGUGACAAAAUUUUUUACCAGAAAUCCUGCUUCAAUAUGUAAAUGUAACACUUUUUUUGGCC